rnacentral:rRNA from 1 species
GAUUCGUCACACUAUCAUUAACUGAAUCCAUAGGUUAAUGAGGCGAACCGGGGGAACUGAAACAUCUAAGUACCCCGAGGAAAAGAAAUCAACCGAGAUUCCCCCAGUAGCGGCGAGCGAACGGGGAGGAGCCCAGAGCCUGAAUCAGCAUGUGUGUUAGUGGAAGCGUCUGGAAAGGCGCGCGAUACAGGGUGACAGCCCCGUACACAAAAGCGCAUGUGCUGUGAGCUCGAUGAGUAGGGCGGGACACGUGGUAUCCUGUCUGAAUAUGGGGGGACCAUCCUCCAAGGCUAAAUACUCCUGACUGACCGAUAGUGAACCAGUACCGUGAGGGAAAGGCGAAAAGAACCCCGGCGAGGGGAGUGAAAAAGAACCUGAAACCGUGUACGUACAAGCAGUGGGAGCACCCUUCGGGGUGUGACUGCGUACCUUUUGUAUAAUGGGUCAGCGAC